UUACUUCCUAACUGGGGACCUUUCUCUCUAGAGGUCUUGUGGGUUGCACUCUGGGGGCUGCACAUCUCUCUUGGAAAGCUGUUUUGUAUUGGGCAGUCACUGUGCUGGUUUAGCAGCUGCCAGGGGGAGGGGGGAAUCGAGGACUAUUGGUAUCUGCCCAGCUGGUGUUCCAAGCUGGAGUUGCCCCAACUAAAGGUGGCAAUGAAGUGUCCCAAGAUGGAGGCAGCUGCUUUCUGCGAUGGAGUGUCUGGUCAGGUGAGGGAGGCUGGCCGGUGGCUUUGGGUGAUAUGUUCAGAGAUGCAGCUUGUGGCAUGUAGCACUGUGGCUGUUGGUUGUCUCCAGACCAAGUGCAAGGCUCUGCGGGUGUCAGCGGGACUGUCCUGGGCCUGCCUGGGUUCUGUGGGUGUCCUUGGUAUCUUUUUAUUACGAAAGACACAUUAAAAAACAAACAAACAAACAAACAAAAAACUAUUGCCAGUCCGUCUACCAUACAGUAACCAAUCCAGACAUGGUCCUGUCAGCCCAAGGGUUCCAGGUUCCAGAGUGGCCCCUUGAAAAGCCCAACCACUGGACCCCCCCCCCAAGUCUCAGAGGUGACGUUUCUGCCUGUACUUUGUCAUUGCAUUGACACGCAGUGUUUUCUGCAAAUCAAGAAACUCUGCAGGGUAAUCCCGUUUCCUAAGAAUGAAAUGUGCAACAAAGUCUGUUCUUUACUAUUUGACAACAGUCCAGGAGAUGUAGCUCUGUUAGUGUCCUCCUCAGAGCCCUAAUGUCACCUGAGAAGCAAUGCCCAUCCCAUCCUGUCUCUGCUCACCAACUGUUCUCAGGAACCUCACCCGUGCUCCGGCACAGGAUAUUCCAGGUCAACAGGGCAGGCACAUAUUUGGGUGUUUUCUUU
rnacentral:lncRNA from 1 species